CAUCCACAAUGUAGUCAUUAAAGAGUUUUUGUUUAGGAGAAGAUUUUCUCCCAAUAGAUUUUAAGUUUAUUUUGAUUUAGUUUUAAAUAUGUAGGCCAAUUGGCCAAAUCAUAUUCAAUAAUAUAUUUUUAGUAUGUUUUUUGUGUCAUCUGAAUUAUCACCACGAUAGUUUGCAACUAAUAGCUUCCGCAUGAUGCCCUCUCGAUUUCAAACCCAACAAGUGGUAUCAGAGCUUAUGGUUCAAUGGUCCAAUGGUGAGGUGAGACGAGAUUAAACAGGUUCAAAGCGAUUUCAAAAUCAAGCUGCAACAAUUUGGAUGAUAAUGAAGAUUUUUGUCGUACUAGAUGUGGAGAACAAGUUUCAACCAUAUUUUCAACAAUCCUGAUGUUAAUCCAUCUUUAAAACCAAAAUCAAUUUUCAACCCAUGUUUAUGGGCUUCAAUUUUCAACCCAUACUUGCUUUAACACUUGGGCUCCUUUCAACUCGUGCAUUUAUUUUUAACGCAUGAGCUCCACUCUUAACCUGUGCUCACUUUCAAUGCACAAGGCUCUACUUUUAAUCUUAUCAACCCGUGCUUUUAUUUUUAAUGCAUAGGGCUCCAACUUUUAACCCAUAUCAAAUUUUAAUAAUGGUAAGCAGCAGUGGUAUAUGAAGAUCGUUGAUAUAUGAUGACCGUGUGAAGAAGAAGGAUCAAGAAUAUUUUGCCAGAAAAUCAAUCCAAAAAGGAGAGAUUUGUUAGGAUUUUUGCCCCGAUUUUCUUACCAAAUUUAAAUUUUAUUUUUUCUUGUAAGGAAAAUAAAAGUAACCAUAAAUACUUUUACUUUUCCUGAAAGGAAAAUAUAAAACUUUUUCAUAUUUGGCAAACCUCUUUCUUGGAGGAAAGGUUUUGGACAUCUAUAAAUAGAACACCCCUCUUCUCAUACCAUAAUACAGUAGCAUCUACAAUGUAGUCAUUAAAGAGUUUGUUUAGGGGGAGAUUUUCUCCCAAUAGAUUUUAAGUUUAUUUUGAUUUAGUUUUAAAUAUGUAGGCCAAUUGGUCAAAUCAUAUUCAAUAAUAUAUUUUUUGUAUGUUUUUUGUGU
rnacentral:lncRNA from 1 species